rnacentral:rRNA from 1 species
UACGUAGGGCGCAAGCGUUGUCCGGAAUUAUUGGGCGUAAAGAGCUCGUAGGCGGCCUGUCGCGUCGGUUGUGAAAGCCCGGGGCUUAACCCCGGGUCUGCAGUCGAUACGGGCAGGCUAGAGUUCGGUAGGGGAGAUCGGAAUUCCUGGUGUAGCGGUGAAAUGCGCAGAUAUCAGGAGGAACACCGGUGGCGAAGGCGGGUCUCUGGGCCGAUACUGACGCUGAGGAGCGAAAGCGUGGGGAGCGAACAGG